rnacentral:rRNA from 1 species
CCUACGGGAGGCUGCAGUGGGGAAUAUUGGGCAAUGGGCGCAAGCCUGACCCAGCAACGCCGCGUGAAGGAAGAAGGCUUUCUGGUUGUAAACUUCUUUUGACAGGGAAGAGUAGAAGACGGUACCUGUCGAAUAAGCCACGGCUAACUACGGGCCAGCAGCCGCGGUAAUACGUAGGUGGCAAGCGUUGUCCGGAUUUACUGGGGGUAAAGGGCGUGUAGCCGGGUUGACAAGUCAGAUGGGAAAUCCUGCGGCUUAACCGCAGAACUGCAUUUGAAACUGUUGAUCUUGAGUACUGGAGAGGCAGACGGAAUGCCUAGUGUAGCGGUGAAAUGCGUAGAUAUUAGGCGGAACACCAGUGGCGAAGGCGGUCUGCUGGACAGCAACUGACGGUGAGGCGCGAAAGCGUGGGGAGCAAACAGGAUUAGAUACCCGGGUAGUC